rnacentral:rRNA from 1 species
CACCGGGGCGACAGCAUAUGUAGGUCAAGCUAAAGAACUUUACCAGAAUCGCUGAGAGGAGGUGCAUGGCCGUCGUCAGUUCGUACUGUGAAGCAUCCUGUUAAGUCAGGCAACGAGCGAGACCCGUGCCCACUGUUGCCAGCAUGUCCUUCGGGAUGAUGGGUACUCUGUGGGACCGCCGAUGCUAAAUCGGAGGAAGGUGCGGGCUACGGUAGGUCAGUAUGCCCCGAACUCUCCCGGGCUACACGCGGGCUACAAUGACUGGGACAAUGGGCUCCUACCCCGAAACGGGGAUGGUAAUCUCAUAAACCCAGCCUUAGUUCGGAUCGAGGGCUGUAACCCGCCCUCGUGAAGCUGGAAUCCGUAGUAAUCGCGUUUCAACAUAGCGCGGUGAAUACGUCCCUGCUCCUU